AGACCUUUUGUCGUCACUGUCGACGUAUCGUCUCCUUCCUCCCCCGAUAUUAGAGAAACCGAACAAUCAGGUUUAAUCACUUCAUCAAUCGAUCAACCACGAUGUAGAAUCAAUGCGGGAUUUAAUUGCGUCUGGCGAUGGAGACGACUAUAUAAAAAGUCCGGCGAUCCUCCUCCACCGUCGAAGUGUGCUUGCUCCGCUUCUGGGAGGCGAAAAACGUCCGCCGUGGUGGAGAGCUCAUGGGCGUCGACAUGCUUUUGGUUGAUUCUCAGGGUUCAUCACGAAGGAUAAGCUAAAGGAAGUGAUGAAAUCGAUGGCAGAACUUUGGGAGAUGAUGAUCGGUAUCUACAUUGAUGGCAAUGGAGACAUCUAUAAUGGCCCAAAACACCUCUCAGGAAUCAGCAUGGAAUGAACUAAUAGAAAUAUCCAGAGUGUUAGAUGGGACAGUUUCACAUCAAACUUGAGGUAAUAUUAUUUUCAGAUUCUUCUUUUUAAGUUUUAUAUCAUGUAUAUUACUUCUUUAUUAUGUUUAACCAUGGAAGCUUGAAGAUCGUCAGCCACCAUCCCUACUUUCAAAUGGAUAUCCAAAACAUAGACAAAUUCUCAGAUUAGUCGUCGACAGGUUCAGGAGGUGGUGACGGUGAGAGAUCAGCUGGAGAAGAAAGAGCAAGAUCCAGGAUUGUCGAAUCAGAGUGAAAGGAGACGGAGCGAGAAAUUCGCGACACUUAAGCAGAUGGAUUUAACUUCUUAUGAUCAGAACGAUGCUUGACAAUGAGAUUCAAGGAGAAGAAGCCUUCAGAAACUUCUCUUGCUGAAAGAGAAGAAAAGAAACAGAAAGACCAAGCUAUGCUCUUCCACAAAAACCAAGGUAGUUAAUUGCUCAUAGAGCAAAGUGUGGAAAUUCUUUAUCCGAAAAGAAGAUGACCGUGCACAAUGCAAUAUGUUUCUGUAAAAUUACAGGAACUGAAAGUAACACUAGAAACACGUAUGUGGGCUCUACGUGAGAUUUCUGAGUGUAUCUUGGUUCGUUUAUGUUUUUAAUUCAGCUUGAGUUACAAUAUGUGUUUAUUUAAGACUUCUGGUGCAAGUGAUUUUCUCUUCUCUGUUAUUAUUGUGAUGUGAUCAUCUUUGAUCAAUAAGUUAGCACAAUGUGGGUUUGAAACUUUUUCUGAAUGUAGUGUAAUAUGUUUGAAAUUGAAUAUUCGUUUCAAACUUUGAACAA